CUCGACACACUGAGUGUGAUCCUCGUUGUUAUCAGAACAGUUGCUUCAACAUGGAGUCCAAAAAUCAAGAAAAUAUACAACAACAUACAAGAUUAAAACAUUAAUUCAUAUGAUUUGUUAUGUACUACUUGUAAGCAUUAUGGUCACAUUAUCUAAUAACAUACAAUAUUAAAUAUACUCACUCUGCCCCAUUUAUAAUGGCACAAUAAAAAUGGACACCGAAAUUAAGAAUACGAUGUUAUAUAAGAAUGUAAAGUGGAUAAAGACCAUGUAUUAUUUUUAGAAAGUUGUCAUUAUAAAUUGGAUAAAUUAAAAAAAAAAGUAUGUCAUUAUAAGUGGGACGGAAGGAGUAUAAAAUAAUGUAUUCAAAUAAAAAAUAUAUAUAUCAAUAUUCGAACCGGAAUUGGGAUCCAUCCAAAGCUGAGCAUCUCUGCGUUCAUUGAGGAACAUAACAUGGUCGUGGCCCCAAACGACGUCGUAAAUAUCAUCGAACGGUACAUCGCGGAAUGCGGCAUCCACCGUUGAUCCGAACACGUAGAGAAGUGCAAGAAAAGUGAACUUACAAUAACCCAUCUUUGUGAAAAUGCAUGAGAAAGAGAAACCCUAAUUCUAUAUCAAAUUUCAUGCAUGUGAGUGUUAUAUAUAGAGAGAGAGAUGAAGA
rnacentral:lncRNA from 1 species